rnacentral:lncRNA from 1 species
CCACUUGUUAAAGAGUCAUCCUAUGUUGCCUUGAAAGCUUUUCUCUUCUCCUUUUCCUACUCAAACUUCUUCUUAUUCUUGCUCUUGAAGCAAUCGGCUUUAAAAUGUCCUUGCUUCCUACAUCCAUAGCAAGUGAGAUCAUUCUUUUUCUCCUUGCUUUCCUUGAAGUUUGAGUUAUUUUUGGAGCUUGAGAAAGACUUAUUGAAGGGCCUCUUGUCCUUU